rnacentral:rRNA from 1 species
UACGUAGGGGGCAAGCGUUGUCCGGAUUUAUUGGGCGUAAAAGGCUUGUAGGUGGCCACGCCAAGUCGGAUGUGAAAUCUCCCGGCUCAACUGGGAGGGGUCAUUCGAUACUGGCGGGCUCGAGGCCGGUAGGGGGAAGUGGAAUUCCCGGUGUAGUGGUGGAAUGCGUAGAUAUCGGGAGGAACACCAGUGGCGAAGGCGGCGACCUGGGUAGAUACUGACGCUGAGGCGCGAAAAGCGUGGGGAGCAAACAGG